CAGUGAAAUGCUGAAUACAACAGGUGUAGUAGACCUCACAGUGAAAUGCUGAAUACAACAGGUGUAGUAGACCUUACAGUGAAAUGCUGAAUACAACAGGUGUAGUAGACCUUACAGUGAAAUGCUGAAUACAACAGGUGUAGUAGACCUUACAGUGAAAUGCUGAAUACAACAGGUGUAGUUGACCUUACAGUGAAAUGCUGAAUACAACAGGUGUAGUAGACCUUACAGUGAAAUGCUGAAUACAACAGGUGUAGUUGACCUUACAGUGAAAUGCUGAAUACAACAGGUGUAGUAGACCUUACAGUGAAAUGCUGAAUACAACAGGUGUAGUAGACCUCACAGUGAAAUGCUGAAUACAACAGGUGUAGUAGACCUCACAGUG